GACUUGCUGCUUCUGACACUCUCGCUCAACUGGCUUCGCUUCUUGAGCUUCAUUCCGGUCGUGGGGAGGACGUGUUCCCAGCAGGACUUGUGAAUAUUCUGGAUUUCACAUGGGCAGAACUGACGGAGAACGUCUCUCACACACAACCACGUGGUGAGGCCUCAUCCAGAGGAACUAAGGCACGAGCGUGGAAGGCGUCCCCUGCAACACCAAGCAAAACCUCGAAGAACAAGACCCGAACAGAAAGGGGAACCGGGCCCGUUACCCAUCUUCUGAGCUGCUCUGCUCCUCUAGACGUCCUGAAAGAGCCACCUGAUGCCAACGGUCAAAAAGCCUCCACAACCAUAGGUUUCUCCAUGUCUUCCAAAGCGUGUGAAGAGCAAGGUUGGAUCAUCCAGCCACCGGAAUCUCCCAUCUGGGAUCCAGGCUGGACGAGCACGUGCCAGUGGGCCGUGGAGAGGCUUCAUCUCGCCCAGGAACAAAUGUGGGAAAAUAACCAGGAUCUAAACUCUUCACGCUAAGUAUCGCCGUUAUGAUGUCGCCAUAAAAAUACACCAGUGUAGUUUAUACAGGUGACAAUUUUUGGUUCUUGGUAUGAAUAUUAUUUAUUAUUGACCAUCAUCUACUGUCAAUACCACAAGUAGCACGGUUUAAAAACCCAAACUAUCCAAACCAAACCACAAACCACUGAAAUAUAUGCCAGUUAUGCCAUCCGGCUCAAUCAUUUCCUACUUGUGUUAAUAAACACAGGAAAGGACCAACUGAAGUGCCCGUU
rnacentral:lncRNA from 1 species